ACNCAGCCACGCCGCGUGCAGGAAGACGGCCCUAUGGUUUGUAAACUGCUUUUUUUCGGGAAGAAUCNGGGGGUUUCGAUCCCCCCUGACGGUACCGAUUGAAUAAGCACCGGCUAACUCCGUGCCAGCAGCCGCGGUAAUACGGAGGGUCCAAUCGUUGUCCGGAAUCAUUGGGUGUAAAGGGCCCGCACACGGGCGCCUUAUCAAUAGGUGAAAUCUUGCCCCUUAACGGUAAAAUUGCCCCCGAUACUGGGUGUCUAGAAUCAGACAGACGUCGCUGGAAUAUGUUGUGUAGCGGUGAAAUGCAUUGAUAUUAAGAACAACACCGGUGGCGAAGGCGGCCGAUGCAUUCGAUUGUCCGCUGAGCACGAGAGCGUGCGGAGCGAACAGGA
rnacentral:rRNA from 1 species